rnacentral:tRNA from 1 species
GUCCGGCUUCGCGGGGAAGUUCGCCGUCUUCAAGGCGGCGGCGGCCGGUGGCGCGGUCCCGCUGGUGGUCA